CGGACAUUUAAAUCAUUUAUCAUUGUCAUCAUCCACCAUUUUGUUCCUUAAUCUCAAUUCCGCACUUGUUUGACUCCCAGACCAAGAGGAUCGCGGCGGCGGCGUGUGAAACACAAUACAGUGCUUUGCGACGCAGAGUGACUGGCACAACAUGUCAACUGAUAGACAGUGCGGAGAUAGUUUAUGAGUUGUAGAGACGCAGAAUGUCUCGGAAGUUGCUCUCUUUCUAUUCCUCUUCU
ensembl:ncRNA R07G3.10 ncRNA